ACGGAAGGCAGCGGUGAGGAAUAUUGGUCAAUGGGCGGAAGCCUGAACCAGCCAUGUCGCGUGCAGGACUACGGCCCUACGGGUCUUAAACUGCUUUUGAUUGGGGAUAAAGUGGGGGACGCGUCCCCUAUUGCAGGUACCAAUCGAAUAAGGAUCGGCUAACUCCGUGCCAGCAGCCGCGGUAAUACGGAGGAUCCGAGCGUUAUCCGGACUUAUUGGGUUUAAAGGGUGCGUAGGCGGGCUGUUAAGUCAGCGGUGAAACCCCCGGGCUCAACCCGGGGACUGCCAUUGAAACUGGCGGCCUUGAGUACGUUGGGAGUGCGCGGAAUGUGUGGUGUAGCGGUGAAAUGCAUAGAUAUCACACAGAACACCGAUCGCGUAGGCAGCGCACUACGCCGCAACUGACGCUGAGGCACGAAGGCGCGGGGAUCGAACAGGAUUAGAUACCCUGGUA
rnacentral:rRNA from 1 species